rnacentral:rRNA from 1 species
GAUUAUGGCUCAGAUUGAACGCUGGCGGCGUGCUUAACACAUGCAAGUCGCGCGUGAAAGGACUUCGGUCCGAGUAAAGCGGCGCACGGGUGAGUAACGCGUGGAUGAUCUACCCAUGAGUUAGGAAUAACGGCUGGAAACGGUCGCUAAUACCAAAUACGCUCCGAUUUCAACUUCGGGGGAAAGGUGGCCUCUGCUUGCAAGCUACUGCUCAUGGAUGAGUCCGCGUCCCAUUAGCUAGUUGGUGGGGUAACGGCCCACCAAGACGACGAUGGGUAGCCGGUCUGAGAGGAUGACCGGCCACACUGGGACUGGAACACGGCCCAGACUCCUACGGGAGGCAGCAGUGGGGAAUAUUGCGCAAUGGGCGAAAGCCUGACGCAGCGACGCCGCGUGAGGGAUGAAGGUCCUCGGAUCGUAAACCUCUGUCAGGAGGGAAGAACCGCCACGGUGCUAAUCAGCCGUGGUCUGACGGUACCUCCAAAGGAAGCACCGGCUAACUCCGUGCCAGCCGCUGC